rnacentral:rRNA from 1 species
UACGGGGGGAGCAAGCGUUGUUCGGAUUUACUGGGCGUAAAGGGCGCGUAGGCGGUCAGCACAAGUCAGUUGUGAAAUCUCCGGGCUUAACUCGGAAAGGUCAACUGAUACUGUGCGACUAGAGUGCGGAAGGGGCAACUGGAAUUCUCGGUGUGGCGGUGAAAUGCGUAGAUAUCGAGAGGAACACCUGCGGCGAAGGCGGGUUGCUGGGCCGACACUGACGCUGAUGCGCGAAAGCCAGGGGAGCGAACGGG